AUUGAACGCUGGCGGCAUGCUUUACACAUGCAAGUCGAACGGCAGCGCGGGCUUCGGCCUGGCGGCGAGUGGCGAACGGGUGAGUAAUACAUCGGAACGUGCCCAGUCGUGGGGGAUAGCUCGGCGAAAGCCGGAUUAAUACCGCAUACGACCUGAGGGUGAAAGCGGGGGAUCUUCGGACCUCGCGCUAUUUGAGCGGCCGAUGGCAGAUUAGCUAGUUGGUGGGGUAAAGGCCUACCAAGGCGACGAACCGUAGCUGGUCUGAGAGGCCGACCAGCCACACUGGAACUGAGACACGGCCCAGACUCCUACGGGAGGCAGCAGUGGGGAAUUUUGGACAAUGGGCGAAAGCCUGAUCCAGCAAUGCCGCGUGUGUGAUGAAGGCCUUCGGGUUGUAAAGCACUUUUGGCGGGAACGAAAAGGACUGUGCCAAUACCACGGUUCGAUGACGGUACCCGCAGAAUAAGCACCGGCUAACUACGUG
rnacentral:rRNA from 1 species